UACGAAGGGGACUAGCGUUGCUCGGAAUCACUGGGCGUAAAGCGCACGUAGGCGGACUCUUAAGUCGGUGGUGAAAUCCUGGAGCUCAACUCCAGAACUGCCUUCGAUACUGAGAGUCUUGAGUCCGGGAGAGGUGAGUGGAACUGCGAGUGUAGAGGUGAAAUUCGUAGAUAUUCGCAAGAACACCAGUGGCGAAGGCGGCUCACUGGCCCGGUACUGACGCUGAUGCGCGAAAGCCAGGGGAGCAAACGGG
rnacentral:rRNA from 1 species